GAUGAACGCUGGCGGCGUGCCUAAUACAUGCAAGUCGAGCGAAGCGGGGCCGGGUGAGUAACACGUGGAUAACCUCCUAUAAGACUGGGAUAACUUCGGGAAACCGGUGCUAAACCGGAUGCUUAUAGAUUGAUCCGCGCUUCAUUAGCUCGUUGGUAAUUUAACGGCUUACCAAGGCAACGAUGCAUAGCCGACCUGAGAUGGUGAUAGACGACACGGGAACAGAGACACGGUACAGACUGAAACGUGAGGCAGCAGUAGGAAAUCUUCCGCAAUGGGCUAAAGCCUGACGAGGCAACGCCGCAAGAGUGAUAAAGGUCUUAGGAUCGUAAGACUCUGUUAUUAGGGAAGCGGUACCUAAUCAGAAAACCACGGAUAACUACGUACCAGCAGCCGCGGUAAUAC
rnacentral:rRNA from 1 species